rnacentral:snRNA from 1 species
ACAGGAAAAUCACUUGAACCCGGGAGGCGGAGGUUGCAGUGAGCCAAGAUUGUGCCAUUGCACUCCAGCCUGGGCAACAGGG